GUUGCUGAUGAUGAUUUAGAUAGAGGUCUUGUACUGAUACUCUUGAGAAAGCACAAUCUCGUAGCAGU
rnacentral:sRNA from 1 species